UUAAAUUCCUCUAAAAACCCCGCUCUAAAAAAUUAGGGAUAAUGAUGCUCUAAGGUUUGGCAUGGUUACCGGAUAAGAAGACUAUGUUGAGAAUAAUGCUUGGAAAUGAAAUUUUUAUUAGAAGUUAUAUUUCUUGUGGAAGCAACCCGAAGUAAUUGCUUUGAAUAUGCAUCUUUUGUCAUGAUUAACAUUUUUACUGGAUUUUUUUUUAACUUAACAUAAUAAAAGGAUAUACAAAACAAGAUUACAAACCAAAACAUAGUUCUUUUACCAAAAAAAAAACAAAACAAAGUUCAAACAACCGUUCCACGUGAGUAACGUGAGAGUUGGCGUAAUAAUAGUACUUACUUUUCUUUUUCACUCAAACCAAAUCUAGUUAAAAUCUCGGGAAACAGGACUGGUGCGAAAGGAGAAGACUUUUCCAAGAAGACACGCGUCUAUGCAUGAAUGGUCUGUUAUUCUCAUUAAAUACACAUCAAUGGAGGCUAACCUAUCCACGAUAUUUAGAUUUAGAGAGAACAAAUCUUUGCCAGAUAUGGUAACUGUUGUCUCUCUAUCUCUCUUUCUUCUUUCUAUCUUUUCAAUUGAGAGAGAGAGAAGAGAAGAGAAGGUCCGAGGAGGAGACCAAAUAUGUUACGGCGGCCUCUGACUCGCUUGGUGCAGGUCGGGAACUGAUUGGCUGACACCGCCACGUGGCUUUCCAUGGUUGGCUUGUGAGCAGGGAUCGGAUCCCGCCUUGUAUCAAGUGAAUCCGAGUCCGACGUGAAAGAAAAAAAAGUCUUACAACUUUCAGAUCUGACACACUCAUCAAAUAUCUUGUAAUUGGGGAUUUAUUCUUCUUUGUUAAUCUUUUAUUUAGUUUUGACGCAUGAUGAUUAAUGGCUAUGCUCUUAAAAUUUCAGGAUCUAAGGUGUUUCUUAGCUAUAGAUCUCGUAUUUGAAUUAUUCAUAGGUUAAAGAUUGGUUCUUUGAGUUAGAUUUUUGUGAUGCACACUCAUGUGCUGAUUCUGAAUCUCGAAGCUUUAUGCUUAAUGGGGGUGUUGAGACUUUUGAAUCUCAGGAUUAUGAUUGUUGCUAAUGUAUGACCGAGAGAAUCUUUUUGGUGAAUGACAUAAUAAAGCUGGAUUGAACAGAGGUGGAGAAAGAUGUAGUUGCACUCGAAAUACUUUAUUUGAAGGUGAGUAUGGGUUUAUUUUUGUCAAUCUGAUUCUUUUUUCCUUUACCCUAAAAUUACUUUAAACCUUUGUUUUAAUUAUAAAAGUCACGCAUGGCUAAACGCUUUAAUCCUCUAAACCCCUGGUUUCGUUUAUAUACUCUCUUCUCUGAUGUCAACACACCGUUAGUAGUAGAGUUUCCUAUAAUUUGAAUAAUCUUCUUUUGGUGUUGCUUUAAUCACAGUUGUGGCUUAGGAGUUCUUGCCUGAUCGGAUUUAACAACGCACAAUUUUUAAGGUUAAAUUACUAACCAUCCAUUUCUAAGUUCUUCUAUGCUCUUCUAACUUAUCAGAAUACAAUGCUGAAAAAUCUGAAUCUUAUCAGAAUAUGUCUGUAAUAGUACAAGAAAAAUACUCCUUCCGUUCCUAAAAGAUGUAUGUUCUGGAAAAAAAAUUUGUUUUAAAAAGAUACAUUUUUUACUUUUUCAAUGUAUGAUUUUAUGAAAAAUUGUAAGUUUCAAAAAAAUUAAUAGUGUUUAUUGAAUUUCUAUUGGCUUAAAGUUAUGAAAAAUUGUUAUUCACAAAAAACAAUGCAUAUUUAAUGAGUUUUCUUAAUAUAUGUGAAAAAUCUAGAAUAUACAUCUUUUAAAAACGGAGGGAGUAUGUAACUUUGGACCAAAGUUAAAUGACAUCAUUGAAAUCGGAUUCGAGCAAUUUAGUCAAAAGGUUUUAGGUGCAACACUUCCUGCCCCGUCAAUUACCCAUUAACUAAUAUCUUUGUUCUUUUUUUUUUCUUGAAAAUAUACUUAACUACUGACUAAAUUCGGUUUAAUCCUUCAGUUGUCGCCAUGUACAAACAAUGAUAUUCAAGGACAGGACCGAACUCCAACCUAAGGGCUUAAUAUUAGAUUAUUACACUGUUUUCUUUCUCCUCUUUACCUGUAUUAUUUUUGAGGUAAAAAAACAUUUUUUUUUCAUUUUAUUAUUUUUAAUUAACAAAAAAACGUGUGCAAGAGAGCAUCUUAUUUAAAAAUGGACUCUCUGUACCUACCAAUGACUGACUACUUGUAAGCAUAAGUUGCCAAUAUAUAUCUGAAAAAGUAGAUGCUCUA